ensembl:snRNA U4 U4 spliceosomal RNA
AUUAUUUCGCAGUAGCUGUAUCGUAGCCUAUGAGGUCCAUCCGAGGUGCAAUUUUUGGAAGUUAAAAAAUGUACCCAAUUUCCAUCUGGACGAUUUGAAAAAUAAUCAUCCAAGACAAAUUUUACCAGUCUCUUUGGAGA